CAGUCUAGACUAUAUGAGCCCUAUG
rnacentral:piRNA from 1 species